rnacentral:tRNA from 3 species
GCCGAGAUAGCUCAGCUGGUAGAGCAACGGUUUUGUAAACCGUCGGUCGCUGGUUCGAAUCCAGUUCUCGGCUCCA